CACCUGUCAGGGUCGCAUCUGGAGAGUUUCCAGGACUCUACCUGUCUCGACUACAGGAGGGAGAGUCAAGCAGAGGCCUAUCCAUUCCAUUCCUAGCUUGGCUAGUAGCUAACGAGUGGAAGGCAAUCUGCUACAAGU